ACGAAGGGUGCAAGCGUUACUCGGAAUUACUGGGCGUAAAGCGUGCGUAGGUGGUUUGUUAAGUCUGAUGUGAAAGCCCUGGGCUCAACCUGGGAAUGGCACUGGAUACUGGCAAGCUAGAGUGUGGCAGAGGGUAGUGGAAUUCCUGGUGUAGCAGUGAAAUGCGUAGCGAUCCGGAGGAACACCAGAGGCGAAGGCGACACCCUGGGCCGUACCUGACGCUAAGACGCGACAGCACGGGGAGCGAACGG
rnacentral:rRNA from 1 species